rnacentral:rRNA from 1 species
CAGUCGCCACGGUAAUACGAAGGGGGCUAGCGUUGCUCGGAAUGACUGGGCGUAAAGGGCGCGUAGGCGGCGAUCAAAGUCAGGCGUGAAAUUCCUGGGCUCAACCUGGGGGCUGCGCUUGAUACUUGGUUGCUUGAGUGGGGAAGAGGGUCGUGGAAUUCCCAGUGUAGAGGUGAAAUUCGUAGAUAUUGGGAAGAACACCGGUGGCGAAGGCGGCGACCUGGUCCUUGACUGACGCUGAGGCGCGAAAGCGUGGGGAGCAAACAGGAUUAGAUACCCCUGUAGUCCCUGUCUCUUAUAA